rnacentral:rRNA from 1 species
GCAGCAGCCGCGGGAAUACGGAGGGUGCAAGCGUUAAUCGGAAUUACUGGGCGUAAAGCGCACGCAGGCGGUCUGACAAGUCAGAUGUGAAAUCCCCGGGCUCAACCCGGGAACUGCAUUCGAAACUGGCAGGCUAGAGUCUUGUAGAGGGGGGUAGAAUUCCAGGUGUAGCGGUGAAAUGCGUAGAGAUCUGGAGGAAUACCGGUGGCGAAGGCGGCCCCCUGGACAAAGACUGACGCUCAGGUGCGAAAGCGUGGGGAGCAAACAGGAUUAGAUACCCCAGUAGUCCCUGUCUCUUAUAC